GGGUGUGCGCAAAAAUCUGAAUUUCAGAUUUUUGAUCUUUUAAAUUUGAAAAGAGAAAAUAAAUUAGAAAAAAAUUAUUUUCUUCUCUAUCUUUUUUUUACCUCUUCAUCUUCUCUAAAAGUUCAUCUUCAAUCUCUAGAAAGGUUUCAAAGAUUUGAAAAGAAAAUCCAGAUCGGCCAAAAAGAAGGUCUUCACGUGAGCUAGCACUCUCGAGAAGACCGAUCAGAUCGAAGCUUUGAGUGGAUUUUUAUAAAGACCGGAUGCGUGU
rnacentral:lncRNA from 1 species